rnacentral:rRNA from 1 species
UACGGAGGGUGCAAGCGUUAUCCGGAUUCACUGGGUUUAAAGGGUGCGUAGGCGGAUGCAUAAGUCAGUGGUGAAAUCCCCGAGCUUAACUUGGGAACUGCCGUUGAUACUAUGUGUCUUGAAUAUCGUGGAGGUAAGCGGAAUAUGUCAUGUAGCGGUGAAAUGCUUAGAUAUGACAUAGAACACCGAUUGCGAAGGCAGCUUACUACACGAUCAUUGACGCUGAGGCACGAAAGUGUGGGGAUCAAAC